CUCACCCAUGUCCAACCUUGAAAAGAAGCAACGCUGGAGAGCAGUGGUGCUACAUUUUGUGACUCCAGAUCCAGCGCCUUGGCCACAGCCGACAUGCUUGACUACAAAAUCCAGGUGUUGAAACCAGACCGGGCCAGUGUGCACACAGCUCACCCUGCUAACGUUCCUCAAUCCUGCUGGACGUGCUGCACCGGUGGCGUAGCGUCGAGGGAAGUGCCUCUGUAUCCCUGCCCAGCACUUCAAUGAACACAUGAAGGUGCUCCAGAGUUUCAAGAAGGGAGUGGCACACACACUUUGCUGCAGUCCAAUUGCAGGCUUUUGGAGGUCCAGCAGCACACUGCACACUACUUUCAUAAACGUGUGUGUGCAGAGUGCAAGACAGAGAGGGGCAAGGAUGGAGGAUGCUUCAACAUUCACAGCAUCAUUGGUUCAUUCUUUCUUUUUUGUGGAAAAUAGUGCACACAGUUUUAACCGAAUGAUUAUAUGUCAUCAUUCAUAGUCAUAGAUUUCAUGACUUAACAUUGUGUUGACCUUUGUGCAUCAGAUCACUUCAUUACAUGUAAAUGUAUAUUUAGUUACAAGGAGUAAUGGUUUAUGAAAAAUUUUAAGUAUAAAAAGUGAGUUAUAAGAGAUCUUGCAUUAUGAAGAUUUUUUUAAAGUUAGCAUGAUUUAGUUGUGUCAGUCUUGACAGUCCAGAUUGUACAGACAUGAACCAUUGUCCAUUGCACUUCCUGCAGAUGGAAUUUCAGUCAGUACUACAAGGUGUGUGUGUGUGUGCACAGCUUUGUGGGCAAGAAUGCCAGUCAUUCCUUGAUGUCAAUAUCUUUCAUUUAAGGAACAAAUGUGUGUAAUUAGGUUUAGAUACAUUUUUAAAUGAGAAUAUUUAGACAUUAGAUUGUAAGUGUCUUAACUUUCUAGAGCUUUGCUGUUACUGUUCUGUGGAAGAUUUCAGGGGCCGUAUUCUACAAAUUACAUAGCUAAUGACAUGAUCGUAGUGAGACAAAAUGGUGCAUUUUAGACACAAGUCGCUCCAUGUCAGGCUCUUACCUUGUGACUCGUCAUAGUGCCAAAACAGGGUUCACCCUGUAAUAGCGCCACCAACCACUGUCUUAAAACUUGGUGGGAACUUGGCUGUAUGUACCAUAGCAUGAUCCCUGAAUUUUUAUUGUUUAUUAAUGAUAAUACCCAUAAUGAUGACUAAAUAAUGUCCUUCUUUGAUCCAGUAAUUUAUCAUCAUAGAUAAUUGUUGAGAGGGGUAUGAUCAGUUUUCCCCAAACUCAAACAAACCUUGCCCCACAUGGCCUGCAUGUGUCAUGUGUCAGGCUGUUGGCCGUAAUCUUCUCCUGUUUGUCAUGUUUCUUUUGUUUGGAUGCCCAGUGUAACUAUUCCCAAAGUAGUAAUAUGAUGUCAAAUUAAUUUAAAUUGUAGGAUAUUGUUGAGAAGCUAUUUCUUUCUAUACUACAUAUAUAAAGUUGACAAAUAAUGAGCCUAAAGACCAACAGUAGAGUGAUGGUCAGGCAUUCAGUGAGACCUGAGGCUAACUGUGUAGAAUGUGGCCCCAGAAUGAUGGUCUGUGUAUUUUAUGAUUAUGGUGCCAAUGUAUUGACAACAUGCUGCCUGAGAGCAAUGCCAUUGUGAAAUGCUUAAAAAAUCAUUUUACUGAGUUGAUAGUCUCUCCUAGACUUUUGCAAUGAAAGUGGUCUCAAAAUACUUUUAGGACUUGUGGUUAUUAACAAGCCUUGUGCAAUGAAAAUGCUCUCAAAAUACUACUCUUACGUUCUUAUAUUCAUUAAUGUUUUAUAAGACAAAUGUAUGGAUAGCAAUGAUGAGGUAGACCUGUUCAUACAAGGACUGCUGCCAUGUAUGUGCAGGUCUCAUGGUCCCUCUUAUAACGUCGCUCUUUUUUUUUUUUUUU
rnacentral:lncRNA from 1 species